rnacentral:rRNA from 1 species
UACGGGGGGAGCACGCGUUGUUCGGAUUUACUGGGCGUAAAGGGCGCGUAGGCGGCGUGACAAGUCACUUGUGAAAUCUCCGGGCUUAACCCGGAACGGUCAAGUGAUACUGUCGUGCUAGAGUACAGAAGGGGCAACUGGAAUUCUCGGUGUAGCGGUGAAAUGCGUAGAUAUCGAGAGGAACACCUGCGGCGAAGGCGGGUUGCUGGGCUGAUACUGACGCUGAGGCGCGAAAGCCAGGGGAGCGAACGGG